rnacentral:rRNA from 1 species
UACGGGGGGGGCAAGCGUUGUUCGGAAUUACUGGGCGUAAAGGGCUCGUAGGCGGCCAACUAAGUCAGACGUGAAAUCCCUCGGCUUAACCGGGGAACUGCGUCUGAUACUGGAUGGCUAGAGAUUGGGAGAGGGAUGCGGAAUUCCAGGUGUAGCGGUGAAAUGCGUAGAUAUCUGGAGGAACACCGGUGGCGAAGGCGGCAUCCUGGACCGGUAUUGACGCUGAGGAGCGAAAGCCAGGGGAGCAAACGGG